UCUGGUGGCGAUGGCAAAGUGGACACACCUGUUCCCAUACCGAACACAGAAGUUAAGCACUUUAACGCCGAUGGUAGUACUAUGUGCGAGAGUAGGAAGCUGCCAGGC
rnacentral:rRNA from 1 species